rnacentral:rRNA from 1 species
GAUGAACGCUGGCGGCGUGCCUAAUACAUGCAAGUCGAGCGAACAGACGAGGAGCUUGCUCCUCUGACGUUAGCGGCGGACGGGUGAGUAACACGUGGAUAACCUACCUAUAAGACUGGGAUAACUUCGGGAAACCGGAGCUAAUACCGGAUAACAUGUUGAGCCGCAUGGUUCAACAGUGAAAGACGGUCUUGCUGUCACUUAUAGAUGGAUCCGCGCCGCAUUAGCUAGUUGGUAAGGUAACGGCUUACCAAGGCAACGAUGCGUAGCCGACCUGAGAGGGUGAUCGGCCACACUGGAACUGAGACACGGUCCAGACUCCUACGGGAGGCAGCAGUAGGGAAUCUUCCGCAAUGGGCGAAAGCCUGACGGAGCAACGCCGCGUGAGUGAUGAAGGUCUUCGGAUCGUAAAACUCUGUUAUUAGGGAAGAACAAAUGUGUAAGUAACUAUGCACGUCUUGACGGUACCUAAUCAGAAAGCCACGGCUAACUACGUG